rnacentral:lncRNA from 1 species
CUCCAUGAAGCACCUUUCCCAAUCUACUAGUCAAAUUUUUUGAAAUGAUUUUGUAGAAAGUAGGACAUCCAACAAUUGGCCUAUAAUCUUUAAUAGAUUUAGCAUUCUCAUUCUUAGAGAUUAAAGUAACCACAAUACUAUUAAAAGCCUUGUACAUUCUACCCUUCUCAAAAAAAUUCCAUAAUUGCUGCAAUAUCAUCACCUUUUAUG